GACGAACGCUGGCGGCGUGCCUAAUACAUGCAAGUCGAGCGGAGUUACAGAGGUGCUUGCACCUUUGUAACUCAGCGGCGGACGGGUGAGUAACACGUAGGUAACCUGCCUGUAAGACUGGGAUAACAUUCGGAAACGGAUGCUAAUACCGGAUACGCGAAAUGGUCGCAUGAUCGUUUCGGGAAAGACGGAGCAAUCUGUCACUUACAGAUGGACCUGCGGCGCAUUAGCUAGUUGGUGAGGUAAUGGCUCACCAAGGCGACGAUGCGUAGCCGACCUGAGAGGGUGAUCGGCCACACUGGGACUGAGACACGGCCCAGACUCCUACGGGUGGCUG
rnacentral:rRNA from 1 species